rnacentral:rRNA from 1 species
GACGAACGCUGGCGGCGUGCUUAACACAUGCAAGUCGAACGAAAAGAGGGAAAGAGCUUGCUCUUUCCGGAAUUGAGUGGCAAACGGGUGAGUAACACGUAAACAACCUGCCUUCAGGAUGGGGACAACAGACGGAAACGACUGCUAAUACCGAAUAAGUUCCAAGAGCCGCAUGGCCCAUGGAAGAAAAGGUGGCCUCUACCUGUAAGCUAUCGCCUGUAGAGGGGUUUGCGUCUGAUUAGCUGGUUGGAGGGGUAACGGCCCACCAAGGCGACGAUCAGUAGCCGGUCUGAGAGGAUGAACGGCCACACUGGAACUGAGACACGGUCCAGACUCCUACAGGAGGCAGCAGUGGGGAAUCUUCCGCAAUGGGCGAAAGCCUGACGGAGCAAAGCCGCGUGAGUGAUGACGGCCUUCGGGUUGUAAAACUCUGUGAUCCGGGACGAAAAGGCAGAGUGCGAAGAACAAACUGCAUUGACGGUACCGGAAAAGCAAGCCACGGCUAACUACGUG